UUUGACUUCCCGUUACAUGUAAAUAUAUAUUGCUUGUAUAUUAAUUAGCUUGAUUUUAUUUCCCUAGGUUGGUUUCAUUCCUUUCGGUUGUUCUUGUAUUCUCCAAUGAUUGACAGGUGCACCAAAGGGAUUCGCCUCACUGCUAGUUAAGCAACGGAAAAUUACCAAUUCUGCUUGAGAUGAGUUCUCCAACAGAUAAUCUUUCUGGCAGCCAAAGUUUUUGGUACUCUCUCUCAGAUUUUGGUUUUCUUCCCGAUAACAACCAGACAGAUUUCUUGGUCUCAUGAGUUCCUCUUCUUUUCCAACAACCAAUCUCUCAUGCAAACCUUUUGUGAAUUGUUGUUGACUUCAGAAAUCGGAUCCAUAAACGAGACAGAUCUUUGGGAUCAGAUGUAAAGUUGGUCAUCUAUUUGAGCUAAUAUCUCUUCAACUAUCUUCCUAUAUUACAUUUAAUAUCUCAAAGUGUGCUAUCGUUGUGUCCACUUCUACUUGGCAUUCCCGUCUUGGUCAUGUUUCCUUAUCUUGAUUAAAAUUUUUAUGUUUUAGUAGUAUUUUAGGGAAUAUUAAAAAUAAUCAUUUUGAUUGUGUUUCUUGUGAACUUGGCAAAAAUCAAUUUUAUCUUUCAAUAAUAGCACUUUUAUUUCUUCUGCUA